rnacentral:lncRNA from 1 species
UGCUGCAGUGGCUGCCAUGAAUUCUGAUUCGCAUGAUGAUAGUGCCACUGUUUGUUUGAUAUCUUCGUUUUCCACACAUUCUCUUAUGAAGUGAUAGCGUGUGUCAAUGUGCUUGCUUCUUCCGUGAAAGACUGGAUUUCUCAUAAGUGCUAUUGCUGAAACGUUAUCUACUCUGAGUGUUAUCUUUUCUUCCUUCCAGCCUGUGAUUUCACUUAACAAUCUUUUAAGCCAUAGUGCUUGACAUGCUGCUGCAGUGGCUGCCAUGAAUUCUGAUUCGCAUGAUGAUAGUGCCACUGUUUGUUGCUUCUGUGUACACCAGGUUAUAGGUGAUUCUCCAAAGUAGAAUAC